rnacentral:rRNA from 1 species
GAGUUUGAUCAUGGCUCAGAUUGAACGCUGGCGGCAGGCCUAACACAUGCAAGUCGAGCGGUAGAGAGAAGCUUGCUUCUCUUGAGAGCGGCGGACGGGUGAGUAAUGCCUAGGAAUCUGCCUGGUAGUGGGGGAUAACGCUCGGAAACGGACGCUAAUACCGCAUACGUCCUACGGGAGAAAGCAGGGGACCUUCGGGCCUUGCGCUAUCAGAUGAGCCUAGGUCGGAUUAGCUAGUUGGUGAGGUAAUGGCUCACCAAGGCGACGAUCCGUAACUGGUCUGAGAGGAUGAUCAGUCACACUGGAACUGAGACACGGUCCAGACUCCUACGGGAGGCAGCAGUGGGGAAUAUUGCACAAUGGGCGCAAGCCUGAUGCAGCCAUGCCGCGUGUAUGAAGAAGGCCUCGGUU